rnacentral:ncRNA from 2 species
AACGGACACUCUGGAAAGCGUUCCGGCCAUCCGCCGGAACCACCGAAGGGGUAACUCCCAGCGCAACCCCGCAGAGGGCGCAUGGAGGAAAACUCUCAGGUUCCCGUGACAGAGGGGGCAUG